rnacentral:rRNA from 1 species
ACGGUCACACCCGUUCCCAUCCCGAACACGGUAGUUAAGCUUCUCUGCGCCAAUGGUAGUUGGGGGCUUCCCCCUGCGAGAGUAGGUCGCUGCCGGGC